UACGCAACAGAUCACUUCGCGUUUCGCCUGAACAACUGUUAUAACGUACGUAAUACAUAUAUUCUAAUAAGACUGUCAAGGUAUGCAAAGACGACCUGCUUAUGAUAUAAUAGUUCAACAAAAACGGAUUCGUUGCGUGUUGAACCGAGUGAGCCGUUUGCUGCUAGAAUCGCGUAAUGUCACUUGCAUAUUGCACUAUCGGAAGGUGACGCUGUCUCCGUCGUGAAGCAGCCAGGGAAUUUUUUGCUCUCACUUGCCACGCAGUGGUGAGACAAUUAAUUCGCUAAAGUACUAUCAGUUGGAGGAACCGAGGGAAGAAAUUCAAGAAAAACGUUCGGCUCUGGCGCCUGGCAAGGAUGUUAUCUUUCAUCAUGACACUGGCAGACCGCACACUUCCAUGCAGAUCCAAAAUAAACUUGGCGAAUUGAAUUGGAUCAUUGUAAUGCACAGACCUCGCCCAUAUUCGCCAAAUGUCACAUUUCUUUUAGUCCAGGCAUUAGAAAAUAGUAUAAACCACUUUUCGUUAAAAGUACGAGCACCGAGCGAUGAAUACCUAGCAUUUUAUAAAAAUACGAACGAUGUGUUUAUGGAAAUUUUGUAAAUAAAAUGAUAUUUUAAAUGGCAAA